CCGACCUUAGCUCAGUUGGUAGAGCGGAGGACUGUAGUAUUUGCAGAUCAAUCCUUAGGUCACUGGUUCGAAUCCGGUAGGUCGGA
rfam:Triticum urartu cultivar G1812 contig686767, whole genome shotgun sequence.